GGGGGAUUUGGGGUCAUUGGGGUCCUUUGGGGUCACUGGGGAGGAUUUGGGGUCCUUUGGGGUCAUUGGGGUUCUUUGGGGUCAUUGGGGUUUUUGGGGUCAUUGGGGGGGAGGUUUGGGGUCCUUUGGGCUCCUCUGGGGUCAUUGGGGGGAUUUGGGGUCAUUGGGAUUUUUGGGGUCAUUGGGGUCAUUGAGGUCCUUUGGGGUCACUGGGGGGGAUUUGGGGUCCUUUGGGGUCCUUUGGGGUCCUUUGGGGUCAUUGGGAGGGAUUUGGGGUCCUUUGGGGUUUUUGGGGUCAUUGGGAGGGAUUUGGGGUCCUUUGGGGUCCUUUGGGGUAUUGGGGUCACUGUGGGGAUUUGGGGUCCUUUGUGGUUUUUGGGGUAUUGGGGUCACUGUGGGGAUUUGGGGUCCUUUGGGGUCCUUUGGGGUUUUUGGGGUCACUGUGGGGAUUUGGGGUCCUUUGGGGUCCUUUGGGGUAUUGGGGUCACUGUGGGGGAUUUGGGGUCCUUUGGGGUCAUUGGGGGGAUUUGGGGUUUUUGGGGUCACUGUGGGGAUUUGGGGUCCUUUGGGGUCCUUUGGGGUCCUUUGGGGUCAUUGGGAGGGAUUUGGGGUCCUUUGGGGUCCUUU
ensembl:lncRNA